GGGCGCUUGGUCUAGGGGUAGUAAGUAGUACUCGGAUUGACUAUGAAAGGUCGUGGGUUCAAUUCCCACAGUGUCCA
rnacentral:tRNA from 1 species